rnacentral:rRNA from 1 species
UACGUAGGGUGCAGGCGUUAAUCGGAAUUACUGGGCGUAAAGCGUGCGCAGGCGGUUUGCUAAGACAGGUGUGAAAUCCCCGGGCUUAACCUGGGAACUGCGCUUGUAACUGGCAAGCUAGAGUGUGGCAGAGGGGGGUGGAAUUCCACGUGUAGCAGUGAAAUGCGUAGAUAUCAGGAGGAACACCGAUGGCGAAGGCAGGUCUCUGGGCUGACACUGACGCUCAUGCACGAAAGCGUGGGGAGCAAACAGG